rnacentral:rRNA from 1 species
GUCGGGAGUCUUGCACAAUGGGGGAAACCCUGAUGCAGCGACGUCGCGUGUGGGAUGAAGUAUUUCGGUAUGUAAACCACUUUUGCGGGGGGCGAAAAAAAUGACGGUACCCCGCGAAUAAGCCCCGGCUAACUACGUGCCAGCAGCCGCGGUAAUACGUAGGGGGCGAGCGUUGCUCGGAUUGACUGGGCGUAAAGCGCGCGUAGGCGGUCCAUUAAGUGUGCGGUGAAAUUCGGAGGCUCAACCUCCGUCCCGCCGCGCAAACUGAUGGUCUUGAGAUUGGGAGGGGGAUGCGGAAUUCCUGGUGUAGCGGUGAAAUGCAUUGAUAUCAGGAGGAAUACCGGCGGCGAAAGCGGCAUCCUGGCUUAUAUCUGACGCUGAGGCGCGAAAGCGUGGGUAGCAAACGGGAUUAGAUACCCUGGUAGUCC